rnacentral:rRNA from 1 species
GUGGGGAAUUUUGGACAAUGGGCGCAAGCCUGAUCCAGCAAUGCCGCGUGCAGGAAGAAGGCCUUCGGGUUGUAAACUGCUUUUGUACGGAACGAAACGGUCCGGGUUAAUACCCUGGGCUAAUGACGGUACCGUAAGAAUAAGCACCGGCUAACUACGUGCCAGCAGCCGCGGUAAUACGUAGGGUGCAAGCGUUAAUCGGAAUUACUGGGCGUAAAGCGUGCGUAGGCGGUUUUGUAAGACAGGCGUGAAAUCCCCGGGCUCAACCUGGGAAUUGCGCUUGUGACUGCAAGGGUGGAGUGCGGCAGAGGGGGAUGGAAUUCCGCGUGUAGCAGUGAAAUGCGUAGAUAUGCGGAGGAACACCGAUGGCGAAGGCAAUCCCCUGGGCCUGCACUGACGCUCAUGCACGAAAGCGUGGGGAGCAAACAGGAUUAGAUACCCCUGUAGUCC